AUAUACAGGUCAGUACCAGUACCUUACUCAAUGUGCAGGGUACUGGAGUGGUUGUAUAUACAGGUCAGUGUUAGUACCUUACUCAAUGUGCAGGGGUACUGGAGUGGUUGUAUAUACAGGUCAGUGUUAGUACCUUACUCAAUGUGCAGGGUACUGGAGUGGUUGUAUAUACAGGUCAGCGUUAGUACCUUACUCAAUGUGCAGGGGUACUGGAGUGGUUGUAUAUACAGGUCAGUGUUAGUACCUUACUCAAUGUGCAGGGUACUGGAGUGGUUGUAUAUACAGGUCAGCGUUAGUACCUUACUCAAUGUGCAGGGUACUGGAGUGGUUGUAUAUACAGGUCAGUGUUAGUACCUUACUCAAUGUGCAGGGUACUGGAGUGGUUGUAUAUACAGGUCAGUGUUAGUACCUUACUCAAUGUGCAGGGUACUGGAGUGGUUGUAUAUACAGGUCAGUGUUAGUACCUUACUCAAUGUGCAGGGAUACUGGAGUGGUUGUAUAUACAGGUCAGUGUUAGUACCUUACUCAAUGUGCAGGGUACUGGAGUGGUUGUAUAUACAGGUCAGUGUUAGUACCUUACUCAAUGUGCAGGGAUACUGGAGUGGUUGUAUAUACAGGUCAGUGUUAGUACCUUACUCAAUGUGCAGGGUACUGGAGUGGUUGUAUAUACAGGUCAGCGUUAGUACCUUACUCAAUGUGCAGGGGUACUGGAGUGGUUGUAUAUACAGGUCAGUGUUAGUACCUUACUCAAUGUGCAGGGUACUGGAGUGGUUGUAUAUACAGGUCAGUGUUAGUACCUUACUCAAUGUGCAGGGUACUGGAGUGGUUGUAUAUACAGGUCAGUGUUAGUACCUUACUCAAUGUGCAGGGUACUGGAGUGGUUGUAUAUACAGGUCAGCGUUAGUACCUUACUCAAUGUGCAGGGAUACUGGAGUGGUUGUAUAUACAGGUCAGUGUUAGUACCUUACUCAAUGUGCAGGGUACUGGAGUGGUUGAGGUGGUUUGUAAACAGGGCUGAUAAGUGACUGGUAACAGGAGUACCUCAAUGCAGAGGGGGAGGAAGAGAAUUGGAGAUAGUGGCAUCACUCUGUUUAAUGAAGUACUGUUAUAAGCUGUAUUGUAUACUAUGGCUUAAUAACUGGUUUGUAACAUCACUGAAUUGCAGAGCAUCAGGGGCUCGGCCUACAUAUCAUGACUGAUCCAUGUU